UUUUCUCUGAGGGAGGCGUUAUUUUUUUGUUGUCGUUGUUAUGGAUUUUUCUUCAUAGUUUACAUUCUGGCAGUCAUUUAUCUAAUGACUUGUAUAUUUCAGGCUGUGGAAAAUACAGGAUAACAGAGCAAGAGAAAAAGUGGUGGUGAUUAAGCUAGACUCAUAGACAUUUAGUUUUUAAUUUUAAGAAAAAGCUUUCCCGUGACAAUGGAGUGCAUAGUUUCAAGAUGAAAUUCAGCCUAGGAAAGACCUAUGGACUGGCACAGAAAGUGUGAAAUACCACAUGAGCUCUGCUGAGAAGUCAGUACAGUUGUAAGAAGUCAAUGCAGAAUCAGCUGAUACCUGGGAGAAGAAAACCACAAACACAUUUCUCUCUGCAGAGCACUUCCAGCACACCUUAAGCCUGUGAACGACGCUGGCAUGGCAGCCCUGAUAGCGAUGGAGAGACUCCUGGUGUGCAUCAAUCAACCCAGAGAAGAGGGACCAAAAUAGCUGAUUACUGGAGACUGGCACAUCAGCAAGAAAAGUUUUCUUCUUGGAGAGAAAUACUGCAAAACAUCCGAGAGAAGAGGAGACAACAUGACCCAGGGAAUACUUUCCUUUCCCUGGCACAUACUUGAGGAUCAGAUCUCUCACAGUAGGUGCCUAUUGAGGACAGACACUUCACUCAACUCAGAACCCACAGCCUGGCAUGCUGGAUGAUUUUGAAAGAGUCUAGAAGGUUGGCAGUGGUAAGAAACUUUUGGAAAUGUUUAAUGCUCUGGUCCCAAAAGCUGCUUUCAGGUUACAGCUGAAUCAGCUGCCAUUUACAAGUGCAGAGUGGG